ACAGUAUUAUUUUAUUUUUUUGAAACGAAAGAACAUUGAUCAGAAUAUGCUUGAUCAUGAAAUGGUUGUUUAUAACCGAUAUUUGUUAACAUUCUGACAAACAACGUAGUAACCGAGACACCGUUUCCCAGUUUAUCACGAGGAACAUCCGGUGUUAAACUUCAACGUUUCUUGGUUUAAAUUGUGGAAUUGCAAGUGGUGCUGAACCAUGUAGCCAAGAUGUGCACUACCACUACUCAUGGGAUUUUGCCCAGCAAGUCCACUAUCCACAUCAUGCCAACAAGUUGGGCCGAUAUAUUUCGCCACCCCACAGAAAUGUCAUGUGUUUCGCAUGUGUGCCUUAGGUUCAGCUAUGUUUUUAUGGAAAGUAGACAUUUUAUCUGGUGGACGAGGCCGAAUUGCCGGGGAAAGGAAGUGACAGUGUCGUGAGCCUGGCCCACCACUACUUUCAGCACUAUGGUGUCGGUGAAAAACAUGCUGAGGUUUAUUUCGAUAAUGCUGUCGGCCAAAACAAGAACAAUGCUGUGCUUUGGUAUGCCAUGUGACCUGUAAUGACAGGAUUGCAUGAGAGUGUAACACUAAACACUAUGUUGGCUGGGCACACCAAAUUUGCUCCUGACUGUCACUUCGGCAACUGGAAGGUCCAGUGGCGAUGUUGUAAUGCCGAGAAUCUUCAAGAAAUUGCCCACACUGUUUUCACCUCUUCAAAGUCCGGCCACAACAUCCCACACUUGGUUUAUGACCCUCAACAGCCAAUCACAGUUCACAGUUGAAAAUCAUUCCUAGAUACAUAUUUCAAAACUCUAAAGAAUAUUACCAAAUACCACCAUUUCUAUGUAUCAAAACAUAAACCAGGAGUUGUAGUAUGCAAAGAGUUUGUAGAUUCCUCAGAAAUUGAAGUUAUUCUUUUGAGGAUGAGUCCAGAAUGUGGUGUUUUGGCUGAAAUAAAGCACGCAACGUGCCUAGAUGCUGAACGUCAAUUGUACCUUCAAUAUUCUUUUGGUCCAUUCUUUAGAUCUGAGUCAUCAAGAUCUGCAGUAUGCCCUAAACCAACUCUGUGUAAAGUCGAAGUUUACUCAUUUGUUGGUGAAAUGUCGAUUGUAGAUCAAAUGUUUGUGGCAAAUAUGAAAGAAAUGAGUAAAAAAUGGCAUUAUCACAUGUAACCAUAGCAACAGGCUGUUGUUUUAUGUAGUUCUUUUAUGUCAUUUUGUACAUAUAAUGAGCAAUGUGUACUCUUUGUGUCUAUGAAUUAGUUUAUGUGUUAGCUAUAACAGACAGUUAAGUUAGUAUUUCGGCAUGGACACUGCAUUUAAAAUAAGAACAUUUUUAGUGGACAUUGUUUUCAAACUGGCUUACCAAUGUGUAACAGAAUGAUCCAUAUCUUUUGAUUUCUUUGUACAAAAAUGACUAGAAACUUUAGUUUUUAUACCUAAGAUACUUGGUAUCAUUUACAUGCCAAUAACUUAAAACGCAUUGUAUAUUGAGAACACAUUAUUUGUGGCAGACUUUGAAAAUGAUUGGAAAUAGCAUUUUCAUUAGUAACCAUAGCAACCGAUUUUUGCUUUGACCUUUGUGGCCAAUUUCUAUGUCAUUAUAGACAUUAGUAAUGUGUACUUGCUAUUUUAAUGUUGAAGUUUAUGUAACACUAGUAAAGAUAAGU